rnacentral:rRNA from 1 species
UACGGAGGGUGCAAGCGUUAUCCGGAUUCACUGGGUUUAAAGUGUGCGUAGGUGGGCUGGUAAGUCAGUGGUGAAAUCUCCGGGCUUAACCCGGAAACUGCCAUUGAUACUACUGGUCUUGAAUGUCGUGGAGGUGAGCGGAAUAUGUCAUGUAGCGGUGAAAUGCUUAGAUAUGACAUAGAACACCAAUUGCGAAGGCAGCUCACUACACGAAUAUUGACACUGAGGCACGAAAGCGUGGGGAUCAAACAGG